AUGGGUAUAGUGAACAAAGAGCAAACUCCCAGCCUUCCAAGCAAGCCGAAUGAGGUGUUCCAGCUGCAUCAUCCCGAGCUGCUCAUUGCUGCGGCUCAUGGCGACUCCCAUGAAAUAAAGCGCCUUCUUCUUCUUCUUCUUCACAGGGGUGAAGAAGAUACAGCGCGUCAAGUCGUCCUCGAUGUCGUCGAGGAUACCAUCACCGACGACGUCGACAAGCCAGCUGCAACUGCAACUGCAACACCCCCUUCAGAAGCGGUCACCGGUGCAGGGGACUCCAUCCUCCAUGUAGUAGCGUCUAGUGGAGAUGGAGAUGAAUUCUUGGAGUGUGCAACGGUGAUCGUUGGCAAGGCCAAUCAUCUCCUCACCGCCCCUAACGGGAAGGGCGACACCCCCCUGCACUGCGCCGCCCGGCUCAGGAAUGCUAGGAUGGUCUCUCAUCUCUUGGCUCUGGCAAGAGCCAGGGACGGCACCAGUGAUGAUGAGAGGGUGAAGGCGACCCUAAGAAUGCAAAAUGGGGAGGGAGAGACGGUGCUGCACGAAGCCGUCCGUAUGGAAGACAAGGAAAUGAUCGGCGAGCUACUGUCAGCGGACUCACAGCUAGCUCGUGUUCCGCUGACCGAUGGCGCCUCGCCGCUGUACUUGGCCCUCUCGCUGGGUCACAGGGACAUUGCAAAGCUGCUCUUUGAGAAAGACGGCAAGCUGUCUUACUCUGGACCGGACGGCCAAAAUGCCUUACACGCAGCUAUACAGUGGAAAUGGGGCCAAGAGACAAUAAAAAUGGUAUUGGAAAGGAACAAAGAUCUUAUCAAGCAAGCAGACCGACCCACCGGACGGACCCCACUACACUACGCAGCAUUAUUCGGGGAGACGAGCAUGACCGAGUUGCUACUGCCCGCUGACCCAUCUGGAGUGUAUUUGCCAGACAGGAAUGGGUCGUUCCCCAUACAUCUCGCUGCGUCAAACGGCCAACCUUAUAAUGUUUUGGCCUUGUUACAAGAGAGCGGCCCUUACUGUGCCCAGCUACGCGAUGGCAAAGGCAGGACCUUCCUCCAUAUCGCCGUCAAGGAUGAAAGCUGGGCGGUGGACAACGACGGGAACACUGCACUACACCUCGCUGUUGAGGUCGGGGAUAUACGUAUGGUCCAUGCUCUGGUGUCAAUACCAGAGGUUAAGUUAAAUCUAACCAACAAGGAGGGAGAAACGCCACGAGAAUUUGCAUCCAGGUACGGACAACAAGAAGAGACAAACCUCAGCUACUGGAACCCACGGUCUAGGAUAUACUGGUUGCUGCACAAUGCCGCCCAUUUGACUGCUUCUCCAUGGGACAAUAUCUUACCGAGAGAAAUCCACAAUGUAGGGGACGUUGACAUAUCGCAGAUCAUCGUCCAACGCACGCAGUUCAUUGGUCUUGGCUCGGUACUGAUUACGACGGUGACGUUCGCCGCAGCCUUUGCCGUGCCAGGUGGCUAUCGAACAGACGGCACACCGGUGCUGGCUGGGCAGUACGCCUUCAACGCGUUUGUCAUGGCCAAUACACUGGCAUUCGCCUUCUCCGGUCUAUCCAUCAUCUUUCUCAUGCUUGCAGGGUUGGCCGCUGAGUCAGGAAGACACAAUAUCUCCUUGGUCCACUCCAUAAAUCUCUUGGCUUGGUCGGCUAGGAGCCUCAGCGCCGCCUUCACGUUCGGGAUGUACGCGGUGCUAGCUCCAGUGAAGCGCAAAAACGCCUUCAUCCCUUCUUGUGGUGUUAUGGUUGGCGCGCUCAUGGGAUUGGAAGUCGGAUGGGGCUUGUGGGCAGUGAAAACGGUAUUCGACGACAGAGUGGUCCUGGUGAAGAGGAUUGGAGGUAGGGCAUGGUGGUGGCUGCCACUGAUAGUCCUAGGGAGACUGAUGUUUGAAUUCCACGCAUACAUUCUGAUCUCCCUGUCUGCUUUGGUAUAG
rnacentral:rRNA from 1 species